rnacentral:lncRNA from 1 species
UCUCUUUGUGAUCAACCGCCUAAAAACUGCUUGAUCGUUCUAUAACUGCCCACUUUCCUCGUAAUGGCCAACUUGUCAUGGAACUGCCUUUUCUAACUGCUGCCAUUACUCUUUGUCGUUCAACCGUCUUCAAUUGAAUUCUUUAAAUCGUGGAACGUGAUAGGGGUGCUUAAUAACUGCUUUGAUAACUGCGCUUCUUGAUAACCAUAACA